GAUCCGCAGGCCCAUUGACUAACCUUAGCAGCCCAACUUCUUCCUUUGACUAAUCUUCAAUUUGACUUUUCUCUUCUCCUUCUUCCUUUCCAAAAACACGAUCAGCUCCUUCUUCAAUUCUUCUUCUGAUUGCUUGUUGCUGGUUGAUGCUUCUUGUCUUUUUUUUUUUUUGCAGACAUACUCAAAGGAUCAACACUCAACACUCCCUCUUGAGCCUUUAAUAGUUUCCUUGAUUCCAACUUAGGGUUUUGUAGCUCGAUGUCUUUGGUUCUUCUCUCUUCAUCACCUUGGUCUUCAGAACAUCAGCAUAGCUUCUGGGUUCUUAACUGUGGAGGCUCUGCUCCCUCCGUCCUUCUGCAUUUCACGUCCAGGUAAUUUCUUUACCUCUUCCUUGUUUGAGCCUUGAAUCUUCUGUUUCUCGUUGGUGCUGUUCUUGUUGGUGGAUUUCAAGCUUGGAUAGUUGAAUCCAAUGCUGUCAAUUUCUUGGAUCAACUUCUCUUUCCAUGGUGUCUUCUCAUUACCCUUGUUGAAUCUUCCUUGAGCCAUUUUUGCAUUUCUGCCGAUGAUUCCAUCAAUCAGCUUCUUCUCCUUCUCCUUCAGAGAUAAGUUUUCCUUAUGUUGAUUUGUAUCACUCUUGAUCACUGUCUUAGUAAGUCUGGUUUCUUGCACAACCUCCUUGGUUUUCUUAAUCUCCAUUUCUCUUUUGUUGAACUCAGUUUUCCUCUGAUUCUCAACAUUGAUCACUGGCUUCUUCUCCUUUCUUGUUGCAGGUUUCUCUUCAGGUUUCCAUUGCAGAGAUAUCAUUGAGCUUGGGGCUUCAGCAUAUCCUGAUCCCUCAUAGUCGGUUUUAGCUUCUUGUUCAGACAAAACAUUCAUCGCCUUCUUGCUUAAUGGCAUAUGAAGGUGAAAGCUUUUCUUUGCCAUUUUCACUUCUGCAAUCUUCUUUCCAGCUUGAUCCAGAAUGAUGCAGCUUCUGUGUUUGAAGUUCCAUCACCAACUCUGAUUGGUACUCUAAAGCUUGUAUCAAGUCUCUUGAAUAGCUUCUCAUUGGGUGUCAUGUGAUUGGUGCAGCCACUAUCAAUGAGCCAAAUGCUUUCUUCGGCUCUUCUAUUUCUGCAGUCCUUGGACAGAUGACCUACUUUGCUGCAGGUGAAGCAGCUUCUUGUGUCUCUGUUCCUGUUGAACUCAGGUCUACCUUUUCCAUUCUUGAAGUAACACACUUCUUCAUUGUUUUUGAAUCGAGCAUGAAAUGCUCCUUCACCAUUAUCUUCAUCUGGGAAGUACUUCUUCUCAUGUGCUUCAAGGGACCCUAUCAGCUCCGCAUAAGUAACUGUAUAGAGAUCCUUAUUUUCUUCUAUUAAUGAGGCUAGACCAGCAUAACUCUUUGGCAUAGAAGCUAACACCUUAACUACCAGGAAUGCUCCAGAAGAUCCCAAGCCUCUUUUACAGUUGUUGCAGAGAGGAUUUUGUCAAAGAUAGUAUCGGCUACAGCAUAUUGGAUGAUUUGGAGUGCAGCUGUAUCUUUGGCUUUGAGAGUCUUCAGAGUUGUUCUCAUUCUUGCAGCCCAGAACUCAUAGUUCUGGCCAUCAAAUACAGCCACCGAUUGAGAUGUCUGUCACACAGACAACUAUAGCUCUGAUACCAUGUUGAACUUCACUCUUUUAAGAUAUGUUUUCUUUCACUCUCUUUCUUUCAAGAUCGAUAUUUCUUCUUAACAUUCAUCUUUUUCAUUCAUUUCUCUUAUCUUCAUUACAUUGCACUCUCUUCAUACAUAUAGGUGAUAUCCUCUAACUACUCUUACUAACUCUCAUCAUUACUACACCUCAACUCUAGGACUUUAGACUCUCUUACACAACUGUUCUAACUUAGACUUCUAACAACUCUCAUUACUACUUUAGCUACUCAUUCUUAGAAUUAAUGAUAACAAGUCCUACACUUACACACAAACUCUUAUUCCUGUGUUCUUUUGGGCUUUGUGCAGAUCCGCAGGCCCAUUGACUAACCUUAGCAGCCCAACUUCUUCCUUUGACUAAUCUUCAAUUUGACUUUUCUCUUCUCCUUCUUCCUUUCCAAAAACACGAUCAGCUCCUUCUUCAAUUCUUCUUCUGAUUGCUUGUUGCUGGUUGAUGCUUCUUGUCUUCUUUUCUUUUUGCAGACAUACUCAAAGGAUUAACACUCAACAAAUCUUCAGUGGUUGAAUUUAUAUGUGGGGAAGUUCACCUGCGUUAGAGUUAUGCAUACAAUGCUAUAUAUAUACAGUAAAAACUCUAUAAAUUAAUAAUGUUGAGACCAUGAUAUUUUAUUAAUUUAUCGUGAUAUUAAUUUAUAUAUAAAUUAAUAAUUAUUAAUUUAUAGAGAAAAUUUGCUUUUUGUAUAUAAUUUUUUUAAA